GGGGAAGAAGCUCAGUGGUAGAGCACAUGCUUAGCAUGCAGGAGGUUCUGAGUUCUAUCCCCAGUACCUCCA
rnacentral:tRNA from 1 species